UGGAGCGCUACCUGGGCGCGGCGGCCCACGGCUGUGGCGGCGCCACCGUGCGCGACGCUCUCUUCGCGGCUAAGGGCCGCGCGGCCGACUGCGAGAGCCCGCGCGAGUUUCGGGAGCGGGCCCUGCGCGCCUGAUGGGUCGAGGCGGACGCGCGGCUGCGUCAGGUUAUUCAAGGACACGGAAAAGCCAACACCAUGGUAGCAUUAAUGAAAGUUUACCAAGAGGAAGAUGAAGCCUACCAGGAAUUAGUUACCGUGGCAACCACGUUCUUCCAGUACUUAUUGCGGCCAUUUAGGGCUAUGCGAGAAGUUGCAACUUUAUAAGUCCUUGGAUGAGGAUGACCUAGGUCCUAGAAGGGUAGUUGCCCUGGAGAAAGAAGCUGAAGAAUGGACCAGACGGGCUGGAGAAGCUGUCGUCUCUAUUCAAGAUAUCACAGUGAAUUAUUUUAAGGAGACAGUAAAAGCAUUAGCAGGAGUUUCUGAUAUAUUGCACAGAAUCAACAAGAUAUAAAGCAGAAUGAUGAUCCUGGUUUUUUGGUCAAACUAUCCAUAUGAGCCUGUCUGUCUAGCUAGUCAUAGAAACAAUAUGGAAGCAAGUGUGCCAAAAUAUAAGAAGCAGUUGCCUCAACUAGGAAUGCAAAAAGAAAUGGAACAGGAUGUGAAGAGACUUGGCCAGGCUGCCUGGGCCACAGCAAUUCCCAGGUUGGAAAAACUUAAGCUAAUGCUAGCUCAAGAGACUCUGCAACUCAUGAGAGCGAAAGAAUUGUAUUUAAAUUGCAAAAGAGCUGAAAUUCAGGGAAAGAUGGAAGAUCUUCCAGAACAAGAAAAAAAUAUAAAUGUUGUAGAUGAAUUAGAAAUACAAUUUUAUGAAAUUCAGUUAGAACUAUAUGAAGUUAAAUUUGAGAUAUUAAAAAACAAAGAAAUACUGCUUACUACACAGUUGGACUCUCUUGAAAGACUUAUAAAAGGUAAAGUUUUUAUUUAAGUAUAUAGAUUACAAUGUUUAUAAAUUUAAGGAAAUACAGACCAUAUUAUCAAUUACUUUUUGUAAACUGUAACAUCUGAAAAUUUCCUAAAGUUUUCCUUCAGUGGUUUAUUAUUCAAAUAAUAUAUUCAUUGUUAGCACAUAGCAAAACAAAGAAAGAAAAAUGAUUAUUACCCCAAUCCCAUCAUCUAGAGAUGCUCAAUGGUUGGCUGGGCACAGUGGCUCAGGCCUAUAAUCCCAGCACUUUGGGAGGCUGAGGCGGGCAGAUCACUUGAGGUCAGGAGUUCCAGACCAGUCUGACCAACAUGGUGAAACCCCGUCUCUACUAAAAAUACAAAAAUACUAAACCCUGUUUCUACUAAAAAUACAAAGUCCAAUGUGGUGGCACGUGCCUGUAAUCCCAGCUACUUGGGAGGCUGAGGCAGGAGAAUGGCUUGAACCCGUGAGGUGGAAGUUUCAGUGAGCCAAGAUCGUGCCACUGCACUCCAGCCUAGAAGACAGAGCAAGACUCCGUCUAAAAAAGAAAAAAAAAAA
ensembl:lncRNA novel transcript